rnacentral:rRNA from 1 species
GACGGCCAUACCAUGCUGAAUAUACCGGUUCUCGCUAGAUCACGCAUCAUUGGGCGCGGUCAGUACUUGGGUGGGUGACCACCUGGGAACACCGCGUGCCGUU